UACGGAGGAGGCAAGCGUUAUCCGGAAUUAUUGGGCGUAAAGCGUCCGCAGGCGGCACUUCAAGUCUGUCGUCAAAGACUGGGGCUUAACCCUGGAAAGGCGGUGGAAACUGAAGCGCUAGAGUGCGGUAGGGGUAGAGGGAAUUCCCGGUGUAGCGGUGAAAUGCGUAGAGAUCGGGAAGAACAUCGGUGGCGAAAGCGGCCUGCUGGGCAAUAGCUGACACUGAGGCGCGACAGCGUGGGGAGCAAACAGG
rnacentral:rRNA from 1 species